UGUAUUGCUCGCCAGAAACCCAACCAGGCUUGCAGACAGUUGUUACCAUGCAACGAGCAGACGCUUGCGAAAAGUACUAGCUACAAAAUUGGCAAAAUUGCCUGCUACUGUAUACAUAGCGCGCGUGUGUGUAUGUUGCUAACCUAGCUAGUUAGCUAGCCAUCAAUAAAGUUCCUAAUGUUACAACAUGGCAGACGGCUGGAGCACCGACACCGGAGAGGCUGCCUAUCGUUCCCGGGAUGCUGUCAAAAACCUUACAAUUAAGAUCCGUAUUCAGAGAGUCACCUCCACAGCAGCCCUCUCCCAACACCUUCAGCAGCAGGUUUGGACUCAACAGGAGAGGGGAGGCAUUGAGCUGGACACCCUCAACUCAGGCUCAAUCAGCAUUCCCAGAGUAUGGUGACGCAGGUCAAGUCCAAUCCUACCUUACUGGCACAUAGGAUGGCCAAUGUCAGACACAGACGACAGGACAGACGCCCAGUGUAGGUCCCUGUUACUCACCAAAGUGAAUUAUUAUUAAAGUGAAUGUAAUUGAAGCAGCAAUGAUGCGUCGUGCUGUUUUGAAGAAAAACAGUGUACCAGUAUGUUCACAUUACACCAUACCCUUGUAUGCAAAAUGUGUUUGUGGUAUUCUGUUGGUCUGCAGUGACCGCACCAUCCCCAAGUCCAGGCUGAUUACCUGGGACCCCUCGGAGGACUUUGUGAAGGCCAGCCACAUGGUCAACACACCUGUACAGACCAUGCACAUCAUGGGAAACCUGGGACCAGUGGGCAAACUUGGCCAAAAGGAGAAGGAAUGCUUGUCUGCAUGAUAAGAGCAGAUGGAAAUGGAGUGGUUCCCAUCAAACCAGACUUCAACAAAGGCAAGGAGCCCUACAGGCCAGUGACCCGCACCCGCUGAAGUCAAAAUGUUUUACCCCUAGCUCAAGUUGAGACGGAGGGGGAGAAGAGGGAGAUGUGGCGUCAGACCAGAGGAGACGGAACAGCAACACUCA